AGGCAUGCGGCGUGCUACCAUGCAAGUCGAACGAUGAAGCUGGGGCUUGCGUCUGGUGGAUUAAUGGCGAACGGGUGAGUAACACGUGAGCGACCUGCCCUGGACUCUGGGAUAAUCGCUGGAAACGGCGUCUAAUACUGGAUACGAGACGUGGCCGCAUGGUCAACGUUUGGAAAGAUUUUUCUGUCUGGGAUGGGCUCGCGGCCUAUCAGCUUGUUGGUGAGGUAAUGGCUCACCAAGGCGUCGACGGGUAGCCGGCCUGAGAGGGUGACCGGCCACACUGGGACUGAGACACGGCCCAGACUCCUACGGGAGGCAGCAGUGGGGAAUAUUGCACAAUGGGCGGAAGCCUGAUGCAGCAACGCCGCGUGAGGGAUGACGGCCUUCGGGUUGUAAACCUCUUUUAGCAGGGAAGAAGCGUGAGUGACGGUACCUGCAGAAAAAGCGCCGGCUAACUACGUGCCAGCAGCCGCGGUAAUACGUAGGGCGCAAGCGUUAUCCGGAAUUAUUGGGCGUAAAGAGCUCGUACGCGGUUUGUCGCGUCUGCUGUGAAAUCCCGAGGCUCAACCUCGGGCCUGCAGUGGGUACGGGCAGACUAGAGUGCGGUAGGGGAGAUUGGAAUUCCUGGUGUAGCGGUGGAAUGCGCAGAUAUCAGGAGGAACACCGAUGGCGAAGGCAGAUCUCUGGGGCGUAACUGACGCUGAUGAGCGAAAGGUUGGGGAGCAGACAGGCUUAGAUACCCUGGUAGUCCACCCCGUACACGUUGGGAACUAGUUGUGGGGUCCUUUCCACUGAUUCCGUGACGCAUCUAACGCGUUAUCUUCCCCGCCUGGGGAGUACGGCCGCCAGGCUAAAACUCAAAGGAAUUGACGGGGACCCGCACAAGCGGCGGAGCAUGCGGAUUAAGUUCGAUGCUGCGCGUAAAAUCCUUAGCAACGCGUAGACAUACUACGAUACUCGGUGCCAGUACAUGGUCAACUCUUUGAGACACUCGUGAACA
rnacentral:rRNA from 1 species